CUUGGUCAUUUAGAGGAAGUAAAAGUCGUAACAAGGUUUCCGUAGGUGAACCUGCGGAAGGAUCAUUAUCAAAACAGCGGGCUUCGGCCCUUGCUGCACCCUUGUCUUUUACGCACCGUAUCGUUUCCUCGGCGGGCUUGCCUGCCGGUUGGACACCAUAAAACCUUUUUGUAGUUGCAAUCAGCGUCAGAAAAAUCAUAAUUAUUACAACUUUCAACAACGGAUCUCUUGGUUCUGGCAUCGAUGAAGAACGCAGCGAAAUGCGAAAAGUAGUGUGAAUUGCAGAAUUCAGUGAAUCAUCGAAUCUUUGAACGCACAUUGCGCCCCUUGGUAUUCCAUGGGGCAUGCCUGUUCGAGCGUCAUUUUGUACCCUCAAGCACUGCUUGGUGUUGGGCGUUUGUCCUGCAGAGGACUCGCCUGAAAGCGAUUGGCGGCCAACGUAGUCGUGGCAGAGCGCAGCACAAUCUUGCGUCUCUCCCCUCUGCGUCGGCGUCCAUGAAGCCUACAAUCUCAACGUUUGACCUCGGAUCAGGUAGGGAUACCCGCUGAACUUAAGCAUAUCAAUAAGCGGAGGAAAAGAAACCAACAGGGAUUGCCCUAGUAACGGCGGGUGAAGCGGCAACAGCUCAAAUUUGAAAUCUGGCUUCGGCCCGAGUUGUAAUUUGCAGAGGAAGCUUUAGGCGCGGCACCUUCUGAGUCCCCUGGAACGGGGCGCCAUAGAGGGUGAGAGCCCCGUAUAGUUGGAUGCCUAGCCUGUGUAAAGCUCCUUCGACGAGUCGAGUUGUUUGGGAAU
rnacentral:sRNA from 1 species